rnacentral:rRNA from 1 species
CCUACGGGUGGCAGCAGUGCGGAAUAUUGCACAAUGGGCGCAAGCCUGAUGCAGCGACGCCGCGUGCGGGAUGGAGGCCUUCGGGUUGUAAACCGCUUUUGUUCAAGGGCAAGGCACGGUCUUUGGCCGUGUUGAGUGGAUGUUUCGAAUAAGCACCGGCUAACUACGUGCCAGCAGCCGCGGUCAUACGUAGGGUGCAAGCGUUAUCCGGAUUUAUUGGGCGUAAAGGGCUCGUAGGCGGUUCGUCGCGUCCGGUGUGAAAGUCCAUCGCCUAACGGUGGAUCCGGAGCGGGUACGGGCGGGCGUGAGGGCGGUAGGGGAGAGUGGAAUUCCCGGUGUAACGGUGGAAUGUGUAGAUAUCGGGAAGAACACCAAUGGCGAAGGCCGGUCUCUGGGCCGUUACUGACGCUGAGGAGCGAAAGCGUGGGGAGCGAACAGGAUUAGAUACCCGAGUAGUC